AACCAAUAGUAACGUUACCGUCAGCCGCAGAUGUCGCGCUAACAAAUUAUCGAUAUUUGCUAUAUGUAACAUGCAAAACGUUCUACGGGUUGGUCAAUGAUCCCCGCAUUCAACGUCACGAACGUGUCUGUCGGCUCUGUGCGAGACAGUUAACACGCAUCCUGCCGGAUUAAAAGAUUUAACGCCUUGCAUACGCGCUCUCGAUCUCGAUGAUCGUCUAAACAAACCAUUUUAUCUCGCCUUCUAUACAGAACCAUCCAUCCAUACACCGCUCUUAUAGCUUUUAACGCUAUUUAAAUCUGGCCGGACCAUGGCAAAAGUUUAUUGACACGAUCAUAAGGCUCGUCAGAAAAUUACUGAAUCGUUGGUACGGUCAGAUGAUUUCUUAACAAUUUCUUUCAAUUCUGAUUUUUGUUCUUCAGUUGCUUUUACACGAUCCAUUUACCAUCCCCAAAGACACCACUAAUUAAUGUUUCGAUAAUCAAAGCUUUGCCAAUCGAGAUUCUACUGUGCCUCUACGAAAUACUGCUAAUUUGUCAUUCCAUACCGAUAAAUAGGAAUCGUAUGUUAUUUCUCUACUUUACUUCUACACCAAUCAAGUUAGUCAAUGUAAAUAAAGAAUCGUGACGUCAAUACUGCGUUAAAGAAGUCUGCUUUUUUCACGAGCAGGAAUUAAAUAAUACAACGGAUGUUUAACACGCGUGUCGACACCGUGAUCGUAUAAGAUUUCACGUUAAUUAACGCAACAGGAAAGAACGAACCGUAAAAGAGCAGUCGUUACAACAUAUCUAUGGAGACACAGUUUUGUACGCGGUUCAUCCACAGUGUGAAAUUUCCGCGUACGCACGAGUAUCAAAUAUCGCGAAAGAGCUUCUCAGCUUCUAUAAUACGAUGCAUCGAUACGAAACUUCUAACCGGUAUUGUACUCGUACAUGAGGUGUAGAGGGUUAUUCAUCGAUCGAUCAUGUUUUCAAUCUGCUGGUCUGUUCGACAAGAAAAAUUUAGUGGUCGUGAAAUCGUUGACGUCGAUCUAGUGGAACGGGAAGGAAUAAACAGAACGAUCGAGAAAGAGAUCUAGCGAUAUGCACCUACUAGCUACGAAAUCUUUGCGGCUGAUUAAGUAAGUAGAUCACAAAGUAGGUAAGUUUGUCGCGAAUAAUCUCGAAAUGCAAAGUAAUAGAGGCGUGAAAGCAAUUGGAAAUAAUUUUAACGAAAAUUUUUAAGUUUUUAAACUGAGAAACGCAACUGGGAAACGUUUCGUUUCCGAGAGAAAAAGAGUUUCUCUUCCCUUGAUAUCUAAGCUAGUAAAGUAAUUAUAUAACUUUCUACAUCGCUUUUAUUUUUGCAAUAAAUCUGGUUUUCUUCUAUCGAAAAAGAUUUGAGAAUAUGAUACAAAAUAUAGAAUUAUUCUCCCGCUUUAACUUUCUAUUGCUCUCAUCGUCGGGCUUUUCAAAUUAUUACAAAAAGAAGAAAAAUAAAAAUCCCUGGAGUUUCGUAGAUAGAUAUUUAAUACCGAUAAAAGAUGAUAAAUACAUAGACUCUAAUAGCAAAUAAAAUAUUAAAUAAGAUGCUAAACGUGUAAAUAGAAUAUUGCAAUAGUGUAUUGCAAUACUGAUUAUAGAAGAAACUGCAAAAUUUACUUGAAAAUAUUAAACAGCAUUUCACGAAGUAUACAGAGUUGUGUUUUAUUAUCGCAAACAAUCAGAGUUCAAGAUUAGACGAAUAAAUUGGAAAAAUAAACUGCAGUUAGAGAGGCAUUCAAUUUUAUGAGUUCUCAACAACCAUGCGCUGGUUCAGCAGUGAAAACAGUCGAGACGAGGUAAAAAGGAGAAAUUAUUUCGCUCUGCGAAAAGGAACUAAUAAGCAAUUUUCUAGCGGUUGUGGAGGAUCAGAACAUGAAAUUGCAGAAAUAUUCACAGUUUGGUAAUAAUAAAUGUGUUUGAAAAUAAUCGAUUGUUAAUUACAAAUUUAUUUUCAUGUUUAAUCGAUCAAAUUUGAUCGAACCGAUUUUCUUUUCUUGCAUUCUCCGUUACUAGGCUUUUAAUACAACUUCUUGGUCACAAAUUCAUAACAUUUUGGAUUUUACAAUAAAGUAAGUGACAGCCUUGAUUAUGUCUCGAUGACAGGCUUCCGAUUUUCUUUGUCUUCUAUGUUCCAAGGAGAAUCCAGCGUCUCUUUCAACCCUUUUAGGGUAUUAACCAUCGACGAGUGUGUUUAUGCGUUCGUGCAUCACGCACGAUAAUGUAUCGCGGAUGGUGCAUCGUACGCAUAAAACAUCUGGACAGUCUAAACAAUCCAACGUAUCGUAAACCGCCUCAAAUAAAUCGCGCUGUGUUUUGCGUACGCAUAUAUAUUAGUAGGUUUCAUGGUAGAUGGACAAAAAUUGAUCCGUUGAUUCGAGUUCAUUCUGGGAAUGGAAUUUUGGAAUGAAAUUCUAGGAAUACGAUUCUAGACAAUUCUGAAUUCUUGUAUGUGAAUAUAACUACGGAAGUAAAAUUUACACGAGUAUCUCGUUUUUCAGAUUUACAUAUUUUUCCACUUUACGCGCAUUUUCUAUAUUCUAUUUCGCAUCUCGUUAUGUGGAAAUGUGGAAAUGUUUCAUACGACGCGUAACACAUUCAUAGAAAUUUUCUAUGAUAGAUGUUCGAAUACUUUUGUGAAUCACUGUAGGGCAUAAACGAACAUAUUAAGAAAUAUUCCUUAUAUUUUUUAUAACACCAAAAAUUGUAUUCGCCUUGUACAAUAAACAAAUAUAAAUAUACGGAGUUUAGAACGUUGUUGAAAUAAAUCAUAAAAGUUUUGCAUUAAUUUAUUUUUCUUGUCGAUCGGGAGAUAUCCAAUAGUAAAAUUGCGACAAAUUUCGGACUAAAAUCGGAGUGAUAGUAGCCGUGAUAGCCAUGACGGGAGGAAGCUCGUGAAAAUAUUGUUUUUUCCCGAGUUUCAUCCACAUUUAGAUAUUCGUAACCUAAUUUAUUAUGUAUUUCAAGAAAAAGUAGAUCGGUCGUUACAAAUCUACCAAGGUUGGCCAGAAGAUCAGGUGUUACACACCUCUUAAGACAGUCAACUAUUGCGUUUCGCCAGAACCAUGGAGUAUCAUCUUGCAACGAGAGAAAACACGUUGAAAUACGCUCAAUACUCCGACGAUGAUUCAACCUUUGGUUCGAGUAAAUGUUACCAAAACGAAUGGUAUGUAUAAACAUUCGUUGCAGUAUUGUUAACAAAAUAUACAUAUAUAUAUAGAUAAUUCUCGUUGUUUCAAAAUAUUAAGUAAAUUCACAUUAAUCUCGUGCCAUGUGCAAAUCGCCACCAUUCCACUUAUCUUAUAAA